GAUGAACGCUAGCGGCAGGCUUAACACAUGCAAGUCGAGGGGCAGCAUAAUGGAUAGCAAUAUCUAUGGUGGCGACCGGCGCACGGGUGCGUAACGCGUAUGCAACCUACCUUUAACAGGGGGAUAACACUGAGAAAUUGGUACUAAUACCCCAUAAUAUCAUAGAAGGCAUCUUUUAUGGUUGAAAAUUCCGAUGGUUAGAGAUGGGCAUGCGUUGUAUUAGCUAGUUGGUGGGGUAACAGCUCACCAAGGCGACGAUACAUAGGGGGACUGAGAGGUUAACCCCCCAGACUGGUACUGAGACACGGACCAGACUCCUACGGGAGGCAGCAGUGAGGAAUAUUGAUCAAUGGACGCAAGUCUGAACCAGCCAUGCCGCGUGCAGGAUGACGGCUCUAUGAGUUGUAAACUGCUUUUGUACGAGGGUAAACGCAGAUACGUGUAUCUGUCUGAAAGUAUCGUACGAAUAAGGAGCGGCUAACUCCGUG
rnacentral:rRNA from 1 species